GUCUUAUGGCAACACACAUGGCUCACCGAAAUGUACCACAAAGCUUUGAUCACAAUGGUUUACCUACAGAAUCAAGUUAUCACCUCCUAGCUGCCAGCCUUUUGCUCCAUGUAUGAGAUUUUUCUCCCCCUCACAAAGCCACUGAAUCUGGGCUGCACAAGGAACAGAACCGUUAGAAAAUUCAUCCAAAUUGAAGGGAUGCUGACUCCAUCACUUCCCUGGGAAGCCUGGUCCAAUGCCUGAAAAACCUUCUGUGAAGAAAUUUUCCUGAUGUUCAACCUAAACAUCCACUGGCACAACUUAAGACUAUUUCCUCUUGUUUUGUCAUUUUUACCUGAGUGAAGAGACCAACCUUCACUUCACUAUACCCUCCACUCAGGGAGCUGUAGAGAGCAUCCUUUUCUCCAGGCUAAACACCCCCAACUUCUUCAACUGCUCCUCAUCAGACAUGUGCUCCAGACCCUUCCCUUGUUCUGUUGGACUUCUCUGGACAUGCUCUAGCACUUCAAUGUCAUUCUUGAAAGCAGUGCUGAUAGAGGACUCAAGGUGCCAAUGGUCACAUGCUAAAGGUGCAGCCACUGUCAGUUAGCACCAGGUCCCUUCCUGUGGUCCCAGAGCCACUUUCCAGCCCCUCUUCCCUAAGCCUGAAGUGCUGUCUGGAGCUGUGACCCAAAGGCAGGAAAGGCACUUGGUCUUGCUGAACCUCACACAGCAGGCCUUGCCUCAUCAAUCCAGCCUGUCCAGAUUCCUCUGCAGAGCCUUCCUGCCCUCCAGUGGAUCAACAUUCCGUUUUGAUUGAUUUUACCUGCUGAGGAGUUUUGCUCCUGUUCUGAGCAUGCAAAAGGAGAACAUGUCACUUGAUCCUGUCUUGAUACAAGUAAUACUAGCCACAGCUAGUCCAAGAUCUAGAGUCCUCAUUGGUAAAGGAGAAUCAUCCAGUCUUCAGAAGAAGCAACAACGGCAUGGGUCCCAAAGAGCACUGACACUAAGAAUCUGUUCUAAACAUAAAGUUAUGGUACAAGGAAAAGCUCCAAUAUUUAUAUUCACUUCAUGCUUCACCAAGAGUGUUUUAUCUGUAGAAUGCUUGCAGAACUCAUUCCAUACUCUGAAUAUGAAUGUGGAUAUUAACAGCCUUCUCAGGUGAAACAGAUCUGAACUUCUUCGGAACUGUCUACAGAUGCAGGCAUGUAGUGUUCGUUCAUGCUUUUGACUUGUUUGUUCUCACAGCAAAGCCAUGACAAAUUUAGAUUUGCAUUUUCUUAAAUGCAAAAUAGAGUUCUGAUGCAAUUCAGGUACAGAAUCCCAAACACACAGCUAAUAUUUAUGCAUGAAUCCAAAGUCAGUUCUAAGCUUGUUUCUGAAAAGAGCUUCUACUCAAGUUUACUUGAUACAAAAAGUUGUUAUGGCACUAACUGCUUUUUGGCACGAGAACAUUUAAUGCACCUAACACCUGCUCUGUACUAGUCACUUCUUGUCCAGUUUUUCAUUUAUAAGACAUUAAAAAAAUACACCACUAUCUAUUGGUGUUUAUAGCUUUGCUGUCAUGGCCACCUUCAAAACAAAUAGCUGUGCCAGCCACAAGCACACAGAUCACUGUGAAGAUGCUGAGGUUUGCCAUAAUGGAACGUACUGAGCAAUCUGUUCAUCUGUGGCUUCCAGGCUCCUUUCUCGUAAACAGCAAAUGCUUGCCCUGUGAAAUGAAGAUCAAAUUUGGGCAUGUGCAUAAAGGCAUAUUUAACCUCAGUUUUAGAACCCACGCCUCAAGUUUCAAUCCUUAGACUUACCACACAGUUGACAUUGAGUAUGGAAAGAACCUAAAUUACUUGAAGAUUUAUUCACUUGAUACAAAAAAAACUUAUUAAAAUCUAAAGGUUCAGGCAGCAGUGAUGUCAAAUCCUGAGAUCAAAAAUCUACUCCAAGUGAAACACUGACUUAUGUUUCUUGCAAAUAUUGACUUGUUAGUGGAAAAAAUAAUAAGUAUAAUCCACCUUUUACUCAACAGCAGAGCAAUGCCUGUAAUCAUCUCCAGAGGAAAGAUACACAUUCAAAUUGUCCUUUCCUAAGUAGAACAGUCAUUUAAUCUUAAUUUUCCCCACAAACAGGGAAGGUGAGCUAGCUUUUAUACUAUCUAGUAUCCAGAUGUGGUCAGUCUCUCCCAGUCAAGUGGUUCCAUCUUACAUGAAGCUUGCAGGAAUCUAGAGAAGAAGUUAUGACUGGAUGGAAUGCUGUUCAGGGCAUAAAUCUAUUGGAAGAUCUGGAAGUCAUGUUGGUUUAUCAUCUCUAACACAAGGAUAAAAAGAAAUAAAUCCAGUAAAGAAAGGACUAAGAUAGUCAAGGGCUAAAGCAUAGAAAAUAUGAGAAGUGGAGAGAACAGUGUUUAUUCAGCCUUGAGAAGUGAAGGCAAAGGGCAGACAACAUCACUGUCUAUAAAUACCUGAUUGGAACAAAUGAAGACAGAACCAGAUUGUUCUCAGAGAUGCACAGUAGAUAGAAGGAUAAGAGACCACAAACUCAGGUUGGAGCUGGGCUUGCCACCCUGGGGGACUCUGCAAUCCUCAGAACAACCUAGUCUCUGCAACAGCACAACAAAUUGCAAAGAAUCAUUCACAGAAUAAAAUCACCAGUUAAAAUAAUGACAAAUAUUACAAACCCUGUAUAAGAUACAAACCAUGGUCAUAAACACAUAUAAACCCCAAGCAUAUUUUCUCCAUGCUUUGACUGACACUACAUACAGUCCAAAAUAAAACACACGCCUCAACAUUUUAUUACUAUUUUAUGCUUUAAAACUAUUGUAAGUUUUUCAUAUUACUCCAUUAACUAGUUCUGGGUGCUUCUUUCUCUCACUUACCAUGACAUGAUCCUGGACUUCUCUACUACAGCCACCAGCAAGUGUCACAGGAUAUAAAUUACAGACUUUGCUCCCCUAGAAAUGUUUGCCCCCUUAAAGUUACUAUCUAAAAAUAAUUUUCUCCCUCUUGAGACUCACUGAGGCAGAAUUGACUUGAAAGUAAUUUCUUCAUCAGAUUUCACAGAAAAGUAAAAUUAACUAGCUUAUUUAAAACUGUUAUUAAAAGAUAAAAUAUAAAGCCAGUGAAAGAGAGCACUGGGCUGGUGAAUUAUUAGUGCUCAUCACACCAUUUUUUGACAGUUUAUAUUAUUCUGGAUGUUUUGCCUAGUAGUCUCGAUUGCACUUCAACAAAACAUUUUUGACUUUGCAUUUUCACCUGAUUUUUAUUGUGUUAAAAGCAAAUUACCUCAAAUAGGAAGCUUAGGCUGACAUUUAGAAAAUCAGACACAGUGAACUGAGUUUUUCCCAUAAAAUAAAGAAUUACUGUAAAGCCCAACUUGAAGCCAGAGCAAAGGGCAAACAUCUUUGACCAGCAUUCCCUAAGACAAAGCAAUACACAUAACUAAAUGUUCCAAAACAAAACUGCCAUAAAUAAGCCUUGUCUCCAGAGGAUGGCAGAAAGAAUACACCAUAUAUAACACUUUUCUUAGAUCAAUUAAAGCACAACAGGUUGGGGAUUAAUAAUCCAAGGAGAAUGGUCCAUGUUCACUGCCUGAGGUGUUGGUGUGACACUCCAAUUUCUGUCUUCUGCUUUCCUCCCUGCUGAACUUCUGUUCUCACAGCAGAGAGACAGGAAUCCAAAGCCCCAGUUUCAACAUGCCUUGACUAGCUCACACGUCACACACUAAGCAAGAGGCAAUUCUCAUAUUCUGCCAUUUUAAAAGCUGGGAUAAGGCCCCUUAAGAGUACUUCUGAAUCCUCAUUUUUCUUUGCAGCCCUUACUUUUUGUAUGUGCAUAUAUCCAGGAUUGUAAAGUAAAUUAUGGAUUUUUAGAUGUCCAACAAUAGUAUUUUCACACAUGCAUCUUAAGUGAGGUUGAAUGCAAGUUCAAACCAAACCACUGUCACCUAAGACAAACUAUUACCUCACUGAGAGUUAUCCAAGGUAUGAACAACCUUGGAUUCCAAAAAGAGGUGAUAGACUAGUAUGACCAUCUGCCAGUCAUAUAAAAUAUUCCUUCAUAUUAUUUCUAGCUAAUCCCCGCAAUUCAAUCUCGGAUGAUAGGACCCUUUUGUCAAAAGCUUCAAAUAUAAAUUGGCUGAUACAGGACUAGAGAGACAAAAAUAAAUGGUUAUCCUUUCACUCAAGCAAAAUAAGGGUUUAGUGUAGGAACAAGUGGAGAGCUUUCCAGCAGCUGUCAAAAUAAAGCCAGGGUAAAACAGAGACCAGACAUGGAAAAAGCUUCUGUCAACAUAAUUAAAUUUGGGCAAUGUGAAGGCACCUAAAAUAAAGGCUUCCUGCUGACUCUAACUGUAACUGUAAUAGUUUGUAUUACAUACAAACAUCCAUUACAAGAAACCUGACAAGAAUAUCUUAUGAUUAUGCACAUAUAAGCUAAUAAUAAUCCCUUUGCCAUGAUCAUAGAAGAGUCAGUUCUGGAUGGAAAAUGAUGAGACUAAAGAGACUUGACCUUGAAGAGGAAAAUUGACUAAAUUUAAAUAUUUUUCCUUAUUCACAAUGGAAAAAAAUAUGAAGUGGUGGGAAAAGUAUUUAAUUCUCAGAGUCCAUUUGAAAGUCUACUGAGAAAUAAAUCACUGGUAUUCAUUAGAAUGUCUCUCUAGCCAUAUCUUUUGGGAAAACUCAAGGAGAAAGUGUAUGCUAGAG